rnacentral:tRNA from 1 species
GAUAUUGCGCCGGGCCUGAACGGAUAGUCUUGAUGCGGCUAAAUACGUAGAUUUAUCUUCCAAUAUCU